UACGUAGGGGGCAAGCGUUGUCCGGAAUUAUUGGGCGUAAAGAGCUCGUAGGCGGUGUGUCGCGUCGGUCGUGAAAACUUGGGGCUUAACCCUGAGCUUGCGGUCGAUACGGGCAUCACUGGAGUUCGGCAGGGGAGACUGGAAUUCCUGGUGUAGCGGUGAAAUGACGCAGAUAUCAGGAGGAACACCGGUGGCGAAGGCGGGUCUCUGGGCCGAUACUGACGCUGGAGACGCGAAAGCGUGGGGAGCGAACAGG
rnacentral:rRNA from 1 species